CGCGACCGGUCUUCACAAAAACCCCUUCUCUAGCCAUCUGAGGGAUGAUUCCCGUUUUUACCGAUUCAAAAAUCUGGAGUUCAUUGCACAGGUGCGCAGAUAGAUAUGGCCUAAUGCGUCCAAUGAUCAGUGAUAUGGCCAGAAAUCUAGCAUAUCUUUCUUUUGAUUUCUGGUGAAAAACAUUGAUGAGUGCCUUGAAUGAAAUUUGGAUAGUGCAAAUGAUGAUUUGUUAGAUCUUCCUGAUGUUACAUUUGCUUGGAAGCAAAUAUACUGAUUGCAUUCUCCACAGAGCGCAUUCAUGACCGCAGAUUGUGAGAAAUUUCUGCAUAAUGUAUUUCUUGAUGUGCACAAAGUUGCUUAGAAAAUUGAGGAAUCAGCCGCUUCAAAAGUCUCAGAAGUAAAAGAUGCAGUCGUCGGAUCCUCGUUAUAUUGGUCUUGGAUUCAGACCUGAUCCCAACAUAAUGAUCCAGACAAACGAGAUCUUCGAUGAGCAUGAAACCACUGCCUAGAGUUGAACCAGAAUCCAAGACAUCCACGGUUUCGGCUAUUAUGAACAAUCCAAUAGAUGGUACAAGAUGCGGAAGAUGAACGACUCGUCGACCUGCAAAUUGGAAGUCAUCGUCUAUAUUGUAAUGAAAAUCUACAAUAAUUCUGCAAAGGAUUUUUCUUAUCGAUAUAUCAUAUUGUGGAUCUACCGGUACAUUUUUACUACGUGCACCAAAAAAUCUUAACGUGAAUUAAUAUGCCGUAUUUGGGUAACAGACAAAAAAAUUAUAUUGGAUAAAUUUCAUUAUUUUUAGAUCAAGCAUAUCAAGGAUUAGGUGCUUUUUUCUAUGUUCCUGAUAAUAUAUCAAUUCAAAUUAUAGCGUUAUUCCGAUUAACUUAAGAUUAACGACGAAAUGAAGAAACUGUUAUAAUGCCCGUUUGACGGUCGCAAUUGUGAAUGAGAAAAGAAAAUACAAUGACA
rnacentral:lncRNA from 1 species